CACAGAGUGAGACUUCGUCUCAAAAAAAAAAAAAAAAAAAAAUAGAAAUAAAGUCCAUACAUUUCUGAGUCCUGAAAGUUUAUUAAUAAAUAUUUGUUACAUAGCUGUCUUUGAACAUGUGGUCUCUCUGCCUGCAAGCAUAUAGACUUUUAGUUUUAAUUUACAUAGGGUUAAAUAUACUCAUAUUACUCUGAAGAUAAACCUUAGGUGUAUGAAAAUUAUGAAGCGAGUGUUUUUGUGAGUAUGAGUUUGUACAUAUUUUCAGAAGGAAAGAGCAAUUAUUGCAACAAAACAAAUCAUUUUAAUUAGAUGAUUAACAAAACUAAACACCUUGAAAAUGCUAAAAGCAAAUCUAUACUUUCUGGUUUGUAUUCAAUUUAUUAGUGUAAAAUGUUAUGGCUUAUGAUUCGGAUUCUCCCCGGAAUCUGCUUAUUAAAGCACAGGCAACUUUGUCUCCAGAACCAACACUCUUGAAUACAACAAUAAAACCCCUCUUCAAACAAACAAAAAAAUCAUUUUAACACCUAUUUUAAUGAACAUUCAACCAGAAUUGAAUAAUUGAAUAUAUUUUUAUUGUUCUAUGUGUGUGUGAACAUAUAAAAUGGUGCAUAAAGGAAAAAUGAGCCAGAAAAAAAUGUUAGUUAAGAUUUGUAGUGAAUAAAACUGGAAAGUAGUUAAUUAUUAUAUCCAGUUGAUAUCUUUGUUUAUGUAGAUAACAAAAGCAGCAGAAAGACUUUUUUUUUUCUUUUUCAAGAUGGAGUCUUGCUCUGUCACCCAGGCUGGAGUGCAGUGGCGUGAUAGCCCACUGUAACCUCCACCUCCUGAGUUCAAGCAAUUCUUGUGCCUCAGCCAUUUUAGUAGCUGGGAUUACAGGUGUGUGCUACCACGCCCGACUAAUUUUCAUAUUUUUAGAAGAGACAGGGUUUCAUCAUGUUGGCCAGACUGGUCUCAAACAGCUGACCUCAUGAUCUGCCUGCCUCAGCCUCCCACAGUGCUGAUAUUACAGGUAUGAGCCACUGUGACAGGCAAAAGACUAUUUUAAAAGUUUAUUUAUGUGGGUAGACAACGUUCUAAGAUAAUACCCUGAAUUCCCAGUCUGUUACACACCAGCUGUGUAAUACUUUCUUCUUGAGUGUAGAAACGUGUGACUGUGGUAGGAAAUCACUCAUGAAAUUAGGUUACUCGUGUUGCCUUUGUGUUUAUCAAAAUGGAGAUUAUCCUGCUUGUGCUAAACUUAAUCAGAUGUGGUUUUGAGAGAAAGAGACACGUCAUAGAAAAACACCCCUGCUGGCCUGAAAGUAAGUGACUUCUUGGUGGAACAUGUUGUAAGCUGCUUAUGGUGGCCACAUAACAGGAAACAUGUUUGUAUAUUGUCAUCAUUCCUGCCUCCUGCAUGUUGAUUUCAGUAAGGAGAAUAAGAGGAUCUUAUGGCAGAGGGUAAAAAAGGGACUUUCAUUCAUGCAAGAAAUAAUCACCUCUCAUCUGGGAUAGCUUAAGAGAAACAGGAGACCACAACAGGACCACAUUAAUGGUAGGAAAAGGGUACCCUGAGUAAAAGUGUUCACUGGCAUCAUAGAACAAUAUUUAGUAAGCUGUAGUGAAUGAUCAGCCUCUGGGAUACUGAUAGUUUACCAACAAUGCUGAACUCAUUCUGUUUUAAUCAGCAUGUCUGCACCAUUCUGGUGACCCAGUUUUAUAGUAUUCAUUACAGAAAUACCAUGAAGACCAGUGGGUAAUGUCCUAGAAUUGUACUUAUUUCAAAAAGCGUACCUAAUUGUUUUCACAUUUCAAAAACCUUAAAAGCAAUGAAUUUAUAAUUAACUUCUAACUAUAGAGGAUUCUACUAUACUGUAAUACAAGAUUAAACUGUAAACACCUUAAUAUGAAUAUUUUUUGAAUGUAUGAUUAGUUAGUAGACAGUUUCUUUUAGAGUCACAGGACAAAAUAACAACUAGAGAAAACAUUUGAAAUGGGAUAAAAUUAACCAAAACCACAUCUUUUCAAUGGCUUGGCUAAACUAAACACCUUGAAUAUUGUCAUCUUUUCAAUGGCUUGGCGUAAUUGCCAUACUUACGGAAAUGGCCAGAUGACUAAUGAGAAACAGGAAGAUUUUGGCUUUGCUCAAUGAUUGUUUUUGACCUUUUGAAAUCUAAAAUCCUGGCUAAACUAUUCAAAGGGAAUAUUUUAUAGGUGGCUUCCCAGGGUUUCCAAGUAAAUGAAGGAUGGAUUCUCUCUCUGUCACCCAGGCUGCAGUGCAAUGGUGUGUUCUCAUUUCACUGCAAACUCUGCCUCCCUGGUUCAAGCGAUUCUCCUGCCUCAGCCUCCCGAGUAGCUGGGAUAACAGGCAACCACCAUUAUGCCCGGAUAAUUUUUGUAUCUUUAGUAGAGAUGGGAUUUCACCUUGUUAGCCAGGCUCAUCUUGAACAGCUGACCUCAGAGUGCUGUGACUGCAGGUAUGAGCCACUGUGCCCGGCCAGAAGAAUUUUGAUAGGCAGGAAAAUGCACAUUAUAUACACACAUUGCUCUACUCUGAUUUACUUCAACACUGAAAAAUUGAAGAUUGUAAAUGUAGUCUCAAUUUAGAGUGAAUUAACAAAAGAUUUGUUUUUCAAAAAAGCAAAUGGAUAAAAUUAAUGGGUAACAGAUGCCAUUAGCUGCUAAAAAAUAGUAUGACUAAAUUUAGUAAGUAUCUAGCUAUGCAAAUAACAGCCCAAUUAAAUUAAGACCCUAAUAGGUGCAUGUGGAAAGCAUUGAUGUGCAGUGUGGUGCACCUCCACUCAGCAUUUUCUUCUACCUUUUUACAGAGAUACCAAUUCUUCCUCAGUUACUCAGGGUCCAUACUGGGUUAGAAAUGCUUGUUCUCUGGUGCCAUAAGGAAAUAGCACUCGAACAUUAAUUUUCUUAGCAAGGCCAUUUUUACUUUUUGCGGAAAGUGUGCACUCUUCAGCAGUUUUGCCAUCAAAGUACAUCAAACAAAGGAGACAAGGUCAUUUAUAACCUGACGCAUCCUUUCUACUGCUGUGUCUAGUUUUCAUUGGCUGAAACAAGACCUCAAAUUCUGUAUUUCCCCCCAUUGUUUAGCGACUUAGAACUUUUUAAAAGAGGCAAAGGCAGAGGAGAAUGAAGGAAGGAGGAAGUAACUUGUGGAAUGCUGAGAAAGGUAAAAACACCAAAUAAGGAAGAGUAACAGGCUAUGACCUAAUGCUUGCUUGGACUAGUAUAAGCAUGCCAGGGCAAAUAUUUAGGCUAAAUUGUGGGAGCUAAGAAGAAAGUACAUUGAUUUUUUUAUUAUGGCUGGCAGAUAUUUAAGAAUGUUAGCACAGGACUUUGAAUAAAUUUUGCUUCUAAGAGAAGUUACUGUUUAUUCCUAAUUAGAUGGGGAGGAAAGUCUUUGAAGAGGAACCUCUACUUUACUUUUUGCACUUGGAACAGAGAGUGCUGUGUUCAGAGUGAUUACCGAAAACAUGGCUAAUACACAUCUUCCAUAUGAUAAUAAAAUGUUAUAAAUCUUACUCUGCCUCAGAAAAGCUUUUACUAAAAGAUUAUCUAUGGUAAUCAAUUUGAGUUCAUGGAAAAUUUCAAUAUUCCACAUAAUUCAGACAGUUAAAUGUCAAUGAAAUCUCAAAACAUUUGAAUAAGAUAAAGUCUUCUUAGUGAAGAAUUUUAUAUUACCGGUAGUUAGAAAAAAAAGAAAACCAGGCUGAAUGCGGUGGCUCAUGCCUGUAAUCUCAGCACUUUGGGAGGCUGAGGCAGGUGGAUCACCUAUGGUCUAGAGCUCGAGACCAGCCUGACUAACAUGGUGAGACCCCCAUCUCUACUAAAAAUACAAAAAAUUAGCUGGGCAUGGUGGCAGGUGCCUGUAAUCCCAGCUACUGGGGAGGCUGAGGUAGAAGAAUUGUGGGAAACUCGGGGACAGAGGUUACAGUGAGCCAAGAUCAUGCCAUUGCCCUCCAGCCUGGGCAACAAGAGCAAGACUCCGUCUCAAAAAUAAAAUAAAAUAAAAACCAGUACCUUAAGCCAAAUAACAUUGUUUGACAUGGGAGUAGCAACCAAACAAGUGCUAUUCAUGAUUUCAUAAUAACUUUUUUUUUUUGAGACAGUCUCACUAGGUCACCCAGGUUGGAGUGCCGUGACAUGAUCUUGGCUCCCUGCAACCUCUAACUUUCUGGUUUACAUGAUUCUCCUGCCUCAGCCUCCCUAGUAGCUGGGAGUACAGGUGCCCACCACCAUGCCCAGCUAAUUUAUUUUUUUUUUAAGAGGAGUCACUCUGUCAUCUUGGCUGGAGUGCAGUGGCACAAUCAUGGCUCACUGCAACCUUGGCCUCCAGGUUCCAGCGAUUCUCCUGCCUCAGCCUCUUAAGAAGCUGGGAUUACAGGCACCUGCCACCACGCCCAGCUAAUUUUUUAUAUUUUUAGUAGAGACCAGAUUUCACCAUGUUGCCCAGGCUGGUCUCAAACUGCUGACCUCAAGCAAUCCACUGCCCUCCACCUCCCAAACUGCUGGGAUUACAGGCAUGAGCCAUUGUGCUCAGCAAUUUCUGUACUUUUAGAAGAGACAGGGUUUCACCAUAUUGGCCAGGCUGGUCUCAAACUUCUGACGUUGUGAUCCACCCACCUCGGCCUCUCAAAGUACUGGGAAUACAGGCAUGAACCACCAUGCUCGGCCUGAUCAUUGUUAAAGUAGCAAUAGCACCUUGUGCUUUCCUAGGACUUGCUGGCCUGUUUUUCACUGAUAUAAAGUGAAGAAAGCAUUCAAAUAUUGCUGAGAAGUGGCUGUCCUCCCAGAAAAUAGCUAUUCUCGGCUGUACCAACAUUGACUAAUAGUAAGAGGAAGUGAAGUGGAUAAAAGGCAAAUGUGUCUUCUCUGUAUCUUUUUUCAACCAUUGGCUGAAGAACAGGAGAAUGCAGAAAAUUAAAAAAAAAAAAUCCCUGAAAGAUCAUGAAGAAGCUCUCUUUAUCAGACAAAAAACCUCUUAGGGGAUUUUUUUUGUUUCAUUAUUGUACUGUCUGCUUCUAUGAGUUUAAAUUUUUUUUUACACUUUACAUAGAAAUAGGAUUAUAUGAGUCAGGCACAGUGGCUCAUGCCUGUAAUCCCAACACUUUGAGAGGCCGAGGUGGGUGGAUCACUUGAGGUCAGGAGUUUGAAACUAGCCUGGCCAACAUAGGAAAACUCUGUCUCUACAGAAAAUAUAAAAAUUUGCUGGGUAUGGUGGCAAGUGCCUGUAAUCCCAGGUACUGAGGAAGCUGAGGCAGGAGAAUCUCUUGAACCUGGAGGCAGAUGUUGCAGUGAGUGGAGAUGGUGCCACUGCACUCCAGCCUGGGUGACAAGAGCAAAACUCCACCUCAAAAAAAAAAAAAAAAGGAUUAUGUUUUCUGUUUUUUUCCGUGUUGACUUAUUUUACUUAGUAUAAUGUCUUUCAGGUUCAUGAAUGUUGUUGCAAAUAACAAGACCUUAUUUUUAAGGGCUGAAUAGCAUUUCAUUGUGUACACAUACCAUAUUUUCUUUUUCCAUUCACCUAUUGAUGGACACUUAGGUUGAUUUCAUACCUUAGCUAUUGUGAGUAAUCCACUUCCUUCCUUCUAUUUUGAUUUUGUUUUUGUUUUGCUUUGUUUGAGAUGGAGUCUCAUUCUGUCGCCCAUGCUGGAGUGCAGUGGCGUGAUCUCUGCUCACUGCAAACUCUGCCUCCCAGGUUCAGUGAUACUCAUGCCUAAGCCUCCUGAGUAGCUGAGGUUACAGGUGUAAGCCACCACACCAGGCUAAUUUUUGUAAUUUUAGUAGAGGCAGGCUUUCACCAUGUUCACCAGGCUGCCUUUCAUUUGUUUGUAUAUUUCUUUCUCCUUUCCCGUCUUUAUCUCUAGAAGUAUUUUAAUUUUAAUAUAUAAAUUAUGACUGUUAACCUUCAUUUCUCUGUUUUUGCAUACUAUUAUGGCUGAUUAAAAGAUAAGUUUUUUGAAAUUUCCUGGAUAAAGUUUAUUACUUCAUUAUUAAGAUAACUUGAGACAAUAUGGAAAUGAAAAUCAACAUUUGUUAGUAAAACAGAAAUUAGCUACUGGUAGUCAUUUAAUCUCUCACCCAACAUGAACGCUACGUCUUUGUGUCAUCUCUCCCAGUUGUAUGUAAGAGGCUACUGAGCAAACUGGUCAGCAUAAAAUUUUGUGAAGUUUAACAUAUAUGUUCUGAAAAUUAAGUUGAUCCAUUACCAGAAAAGUAGGUUUUCUGAUGUGUAUAAUUUUACUCUAUUUAAAUUCUUCAGAAAAAUGAAACUGACAUUAUGUAAAAGUUUUUUUUGGAAAUUAAAAAUGCUUAAGAAAUAUUUAUAGAAACUAAAAGUAAAAAUAGUUUUAGAUUCCUAGAGAACAUCUUUAAAAUACUUCAAGUUAUCUUCUGACA
rnacentral:lncRNA from 1 species